CAUGCUUGAAAAGUCCAUGUUUGAUGUUUUUGAACUCUGCUUCAACUGCAGCUGAACUUGAAGUGACAUUGGUGCUUUGGAAGAGAGGGACCAUUAUCCCUGUCCAGAGUGGUCAGUGUGUAUUUCAUCACAGAGAUUCACUUGUUCCAGUUUCUCUUCCUCUACCUCCUCUGGAAUGAAGACUGAUUCUUCUGCAAUUUGAGCUUUCAGGCAGUCCCACUGGCAGAUCAUUUUGAUGCAGUGUGCUACAUCAACCCUGACAAAACAAGAGGGCAGUUUUGCAGACCGUUUCCCAAGGACACUUGAGCUAUUAUGCCCUGUCAGAACGCCCUGAUACAGGAAGAUGUGCCCAGAUGAGCCAUUUGGUCUCACCAGUUUCCUGACUACGGAGCCUGUUGCAUCAAAACACACUGUGUGGGUGGCCAAAUUGGGUAGAUGGCUUGGCUCAGGAUCUCCAAAGUCCAUCAGCUUUGUUGCCUGUGAUGCCCGCCAUACAUGGGCUUCCUUUCUGCCCUCACACAGUUCUUCGGCUACUUGCAAACGUAGCUGACCAGACAAUAAACGCUUGGACCUUC